AUUGAACGCUGGCGGAAUGCUUUACACAUGCAAGUCGAACGGCAGCACGGACUUCGGUCUGGUGGCGAGUGGCGAACGGGUGAGUAAUGUAUCAGAACGUGCCCAGUCGUGGGGGAUAACGUAGUGAAAAUUACGCUAAUACCGCAUACGAUCUAUGGAUGAAAGCGGGGGAUCGCAAGACCUCGCGCGAUUGGAGCGGCCGAUAUCAGAUUAGGUAGUUGGUGGGGUAAAGGCCCACCAAGCCAACGAUCUGUAGCUGGUCUGAGAGGACGACCAGCCAAACUGGAACUGAGACGCGGUCCAGACUCCUACGGGAGGCAGCAGUGGGGAAUUUUGGACAAUGGGCGAAAGCCUGAUCCAGCCAUUCCGCGUGCAGGAUGAAGGCCCUCGGGUUGUAAACUGCUUUUGUACAGAACGAAAAGGUUUCUACUAAUACUAGGAGCUCAUGACGGUACUGUAAGAAUAAGCACCGGCUAACUACGUGCCAGCCGCCACCGUAA
rnacentral:rRNA from 1 species